rnacentral:lncRNA from 1 species
CUCCAUACAUUUUUACUUAAGAGAACCUUGAGGGUAAAUAAGUCAUUUUAAAAGUUAACCCAUCUUUAACCCUUUAAUAACUAUGGUAAAACUAACAUAACUAACAGUAAGGGUAUUGAUGAUAAUUUUCUGCAUUUACAGGGGUAUAGGUGAUAUUUUAAACUUUAUAGGGGCAUCUAUGAUAUUUUAGACUUUGAGAGGGGUAUCCAUGAAAUUGCCCCAAAAAUCUAUUAGUUUUGAGCUUUUGCAAAAUUAGGCCGUCUUUUUAGAUUUUGCAGAUUCGGGCCGAAUUUUCAGAAGGAUGACCAACCUAUCCCUCUUUCAAAAUACAUAAAAAUUAUAUGCUUUAAAUGCCUAGAAAAAUACAACUGCUAAGCCAUGAAGUAUAAAAUUUUUUGAAAAUAACAACUGCUAAGCUAUUUCUAGUUCGCCACAAG